rnacentral:misc_RNA from 1 species
GAUGAAGAACGUAGCGAAAUGCGAUAAGUAAUGUGAAUUGCAGAAUUCAGUGAAUCAUCGAAUCUUUGAACGCACAUUGCGCCCAGUAGUAUUCUAGUGGGCAUGCCUGUUCGAGCGUCAUUAAGUCCACUUAAGCCCUGCUUAGUGUUGGGAGACUGCUCCAGCGGUGCUACCCUGUAGCUACCCUGCAGCUCCUCAAAGACAGCGGCGGAGUUGUGGUAUCCUCUGAGCUUAGUAACUUGUUCUAGCUUUCGAGUACACCACUUCCCCUGCCGUAAAACCCUUAAUUUUUAAUGGUUGACCUCGGAUCAGGUAGGAAUACCCGCUGAACUUAAGCAUAUCAAUAAGCGGAGGA